rnacentral:rRNA from 1 species
GAAAAAUAACGAUACAGGUCUCUUUCGAGGCCCUGUAAUCGGAAUGAGCGUAUCCUAAACCAAUGGGUGAGGACCCAUCGGAGGGCAAGUCUGGUGCCAGCAGCCGCGGUAAUUCCAGCUCCGAUAGCGUAUAUUAAAGUUGCUGCAGUUAAAAAGCUCGUAGUUGGACGUCGGGAGCGGGCUAGCAGUCCGCCGCGAGGCGUGCUACCGUCUGUCCCGGACCCUGCCUCCCGGUGCCCCCCGGAUGCCCUUGGCUGGGUGUCCGGUAAACUCUGAGGGGUCCGGAGCGUUUACUUUGAAAAAAUUGGAGUGCUCAAAGCAGGCCAGCUGCUCGCCUGAACACCUGAGCUAGGAAUAAUGGAAUAGGACUCCGGUUCUAUUUUGUGGGUUUCCUGAACCAGGGCCAUGAUUAAGAGGGACGGCCGGGGGCAUUCGUAUUGCGCCGCUAGAGGUGAAAUUCUUGGACCGGCGCAAGACGGACGAAAGCGAAAGCAUUUGCCAAGAAUGUUUUCAUUAAUCAAGAACGAAAGUCGGAGG